UAGGGAAUCUUCCGCAAUGGGCGAAAGCCUGACGGAGCAACGCCGCGUGAGUGAUGAAGGUCUUCGGAUCGUAAAACCCUGUCAUUCGGGAAGAACAAAUGUGUAAGUAACUAUGCACGUCUUGACGGUACCUAAUCAGAAAGCCACGGCUAACUACGUGCCAGCAGCCGCGGUAAUACGUAGGUGGCAAGCGUUAUCCGGAAUUAUUGGGCGUAAAGCGCGCGUAGGCGGUUUGGUAAGUCGGGUGUGAAAGCCCACGGCUCAACCGUGGAGGGUCAUUGGAAACUGGAAGACUUGAGUGCAGAAGAGGAAAGUGGAAUUCAAUGUGUAGCGGUGAAAUGCGCAGAGAUAUGGAGGAACACCAGUGGCGAAGGCGACUUUCUGGGCUGUAACUGACGCUGAUGUGCGAAAGCGUGGGGAUCAAACAGG
rnacentral:rRNA from 1 species